rnacentral:rRNA from 1 species
UACGGAGGGUGCGAGCGUUGUCCGGAAUCAUUGGGCGUAAAGCGCGCGUAGGUGGCCUCAUAAGUCCGCUGUGAAAGUCAAAGGCUCAACCUUUGAAAGCCGGUGGAUACUGUGAGGCUAGAGUACGGAAGAGGCGAGUGGAAUUCCUGGUGUAGCGGUGGAAUGCGCAGAUAUCAGGAGGAACACCGGUGGCGAAGGCGGCCUUCUGGACGAUGACUGACGCUGAGACGCGAAAGCGUGGGGAGCAAACAGG